AAAUUGAAGAGUUUGAUCAUGGCUCAGAUUGAACGCUGGCGGCAGGCCUAACACAUGCAAGUCGAACGGUAACAGGAAGAAGCUUGCUUCUUUGCUGACGAGUGGCGGACGGGUGAGUAAUGUCUGGGAAACUGCCUGAUGGAGGGGGAUAACUACUGGAAACGGUAGCUAAUACCGCAUAACGUCGCAAGACCAAAGAGGGGGACCUUCGGGCCUCUUGCCAUCGGAUGUGCCCAGAUGGGAUUAGCUUGUUGGUGGGGUAACGGCUCACCAAGGCGACGAUCCCUAGCUGGUCUGAGAGGAUGACCAGCCACACUGGAACUGAGACACGGUCCAGACUCCUACGGGAGGCAGCAGUGGGGAAUAUUGCACAAUGGGCGCAAGCCUGAUGCAGCCAUACCGCGUGUAUGAAGAAGGCCUUCGGGUUGUAAAGUACUUUCAGCGGGGAGGAAGGGAGUAAAGUUAAUACCUUUGCUCAUUGACGUUACCCGCAGAAGAAGCACCGGCUAACUCCGUGCCAGCAGCCGCGGUAAUACGGAGGGUGCAAGCGUUAAUCGGAAUUACUGGGCGUAAAGCGCACGCAGGCGGUUUGUUAAGUCAGAUGUGAAAUCCCCGGGCUCAACCUGGGAACUGCAUCUGAUACUGGCAAGCUUGAGUCUCGUAGAGGGGGGUAGAAUUCCAGGUGUAGCGGUGAAAUGCGUAGAGAUCUGGAGGAAUACCGGUGGCGAAGGCGGCCCCCUGGACGAAGACUGACGCUCAGGUGCGAAAGCGUGGGGAGCAAACAGGAUUAGAUACCCUGGUAGUCCACGCCGUAAACGAUGUCGACUUGGAGGUUGUGCCCUUGAGGCGUGGCUUCCGGAGCUAACGCGUUAAGUCGACCGCCUGGGGAGUACGGCCGCAAGGUUAAAACUCAAAUGAAUUGACGGGGGCCCGCACAAGCGGUGGAGCAUGUGGUUUAAUUCGAUGCAACGCGAAGAACCUUACCUGGUCUUGACAUCCACGGAAGUUUUCAGAGAUGAGAAUGUGCCUUCGGGAACCGUGAGACAGGUGCUGCAUGGCUGUCGUCAGCUCGUGUUGUGAAAUGUUGGGUUAAGUCCCGCAACGAGCGCAACCCUUAUCCUUUGUUGCCAGCGGUCCGGCCGGGAACUCAAAGGAGACUGCCAGUGAUAAACUGGAGGAAGGUGGGGAUGACGUCAAGUCAUCAUGGCCCUUACGACCAGGGCUACACACGUGCUACAAUGGCGCAUACAAAGAGAAGCGACCUCGCGAGAGCAAGCGGACCUCAUAAAGUGCGUCGUAGUCCGGAUUGGAGUCUGCAACUCGACUCCAUGAAGUCGGAAUCGCUAGUAAUCGUGGAUCAGAAUGCCACGGUGAAUACGUUCCCGGGCCUUGUACACACCGCCCGUCACACCAUGGGAGUGGGUUGCAAAAGAAGUAGGUAGCUUAACCUUCGGGAGGGCGCUUACCACUUUGUGAUUCAUGACUGGGGUGAAGUCGUAACAAGGUAACCGUAGGGGAACCUGCGGUUGGAUCACCUCCUUACCUUAAAGAAGC
rnacentral:rRNA from 1 species